AAGAAAACCAUCAACAUAAUCCUGGAUAGAACUUACAAUAAGCAGCAAAUCAACACCACGUUAAAGAAACGGACACUAAAGAAACUCCUGCUCGACUCGUGCACCAAGACCCCCUUUUCCAUCAACGGUGAACUUUUCAAACAGAUAGACGGUGUUGCAAUGGGUUCUCCUUUAGGUCCUACUCUUGCCAACAUCAUCAUGACUACAUUUGAGGACGAAAUUGUUCAGAAAUUGAUUGAUUCAAACCUUAUAGCCUUUUA